rnacentral:lncRNA from 1 species
UAUAGGUUCGCUACUCACACUUACACGAAUCAAUUCCAAGAAACGGGAAAAUAAUAGGAGCUACUGUCAUGGUUGAGGGGAACAAUCAACGAUCUGUCAUGGUCAAAGUGUACAGAUGUAACAGAUGAUCGAGAGGGAUGAUAUGUUUGGAAUAAACGCUAAAGUUGAUGCAGAAGAGUAGAAGACAAGAUCAAUGUGGCCAUGCAAGGUUUUAACGCAUUCGUCAAUGCGCGCGUUCUAGAUGUAGCGAGUCGAAUGAUCAUGUGAGGUUGGAGACGAUGUUAGUGUGGCACUGUGGCCAUUGAGGCGAGGGAUUAAGGUUAGGUUUUCGACGCUUCUGAGGAUCAUUGGGUUUUAUCUAUGGAGGCGAGGGAUUAGGGUUAGGAUGUUUUU